CGGCCGGAGCUGCUCUGCGGGGCCGUGGCGCUCGGCUGCGCGCUGCUCCUCGCCCUCAAGUUCACCUGCAGUCGAGCAAAAGAUGUGAUAAUACCAGCAAAGCCACCUGUCAGCUUUUUCUCCUUGAGGUCUCCAGUCCUUGACCUCUUCCAGGGGCAGCUGGAUUAUGCAGAGUACGUUCGACGGGAUUCAGAGGUGGUACUGCUCUUCUUCUAUGCCCCUUGGUGUGGACAGUCCAUCGCUGCCAGGGCAGAAAUUGAGCAAGCAGCAAGUCGGCUUUCAGAUCAGGUGUUGUUUGUGGCAAUUAACUGUUGGUGGAACCAGGGGAAAUGCAGAAAACAGAAACACUUCUUUUAUUUUCCUGUAAUAUAUCUGUAUCAUCGGAGUUUUGGACCAAUCGAAUACAAAGGCCCCAUGAGUGCUGUUUACAUUGAGAAGUUUGUCCGCCGGGUGAUGAAACCACUUCUCUACAUCCCAUCUCAAUCAGAAUUACUAGAUUUUCUCUCAAACUACGAGAGGCCUGGCGAGGUGCUUCAUGCCUGCAACCCCAGCACUUGGGAGGCCAAGGUGGAGGAUUGCUGGAAGCCAGGAAUUCAAGACCAGCCUGGGCAACAAAAUUAGACCCUGUGUCUAUAACAAAAUGUUAAAAAUUAGCCAAGCAUGGUGGCACAUGCCUGUAGUCCCAGCUCUACUUGGGAGGCUGAGGCUGAAGGAUUGCUUGAGUCCAGGAGUUUGGCGUUACAGUGAGCUAUGAUGGCACCACUGCACUCCAUCCUGGGCAACAGAGUGAGACUCCAUCUCAAAACAAAACAAAGACAAGACUCUGAGACCAGAAACAAUUUCUAGGACAACAGUUUUGCCUUUAAGUUACUUAAACAUCACAGAAAGCCAUUAAAGGCCUGGAGUACUCGGGUACUUUGAGUUCAGUGGCUCACCCCAGCCUCCUGGUUAUUUGACCUUCUUCACCUCAGCAUUACAUUCAUUAAAGAAAGGUCUUCCCCAGGGAGGUCCUGAACUACACAGCUGAGAACAUCUGUAAGUGGGCCUUAGAAAACCAGGAGACGCUCUUUCGGUGGCUGCGGCCACACGGAGGCAAGAGUCUCCUGCUGAAUAACGAGCUGAAGAAAGGACCAGCGCUGUUUCUGUUCAUACCUUUUAAUCCCCUGGCCGAAAGUCAUCCUUUA
rnacentral:lncRNA from 1 species